rnacentral:rRNA from 1 species
AUUGAACGCUGGCGGCAUGCCUUACACAUGCAAGUCGAACGGCAGCAAGGGUGCUUGCACCUGGUGGCGAGUGGCGAACGGGUGAGUAAUACAUCGGAACGUACCUUAUCGUGGGGGAUAACGCAGCGAAAGCUGUGCUAAUACCGCAUACGCCCUGCGGGGGAAAGCGGGGGAGCGCAAGACCUCGCGCGAUUAGAGCGGCCGAUGCCUGAUUAGCUUGUUGGUGGGGUAAAAGCCCACCAAGGCGACGAUCAGUAGCUGGUCUGAGAGGACGAUCAGCCACACUGGGACUGAGACACGGCCCAGACUCCUACGGGAGGCAGCAGUGGGGAAUUUUGGACAAUGGGGGCAACCCUGAUCCAGCAAUGCCGCGUGAGUGAAGAAGGCCUUCGGGUUGUAAAGCCCUUUUGUCAGGGAAGAAACACCGGCUCUAACACAGUCCGGGAAUGACGGUACCUGAAGAAUAAGCACCGGCUAACUACGUGCCAGCCGCCGCCGUAA